AGAGUUUGAUCCUGGCUCAGAAUCAACGCUGGCGGCGCGCCUAACACAUGCAAGUCGUACGAGAAAUCCUGGGCAACUGGGAAAGUAAAGUGGCGCACGGGUGAGUAACGCGUGGGUAACCUACCCUUGGACUUGGGAUAACUCCGCGAAAGCGGGGUUAAUACCGAAUGAUAUUCCGAUCUCUAAGGGGGUCGGAAUCAAAGGUGGCCUCUGCAUGCAAGCUAUUGUCUAAGGAUGGGCCCGCGUACCAUUAGCUAGUUGGUAGGGUAAUGGCCUACCAAGGCAACGAUGGUUAGCUGGUCUUAGAGGAUGGCCAGCCACACUGGAACUGAGACACGGUCCAGACUCCUACGGGAGGCAGCAGUGGGGAAUCUUGCGCAAUGGGGGAAACCCUGACGCAGCAACGCCGCGUGGGUGAUGAAGGCCUUCGGGUCGUAAAGCCCUGUCAGGUGGGAAGAAACAUAUCGGUGCUAAUAUCACCGAUGUUUGACGGUACCGCCGGAGGAAGCACCGGCUAACUCCGUGCCAGCAGCCGCGGUAAUACGGAGGGUGCAAGCGUUGUUCGGAAUUACUGGGCGUAAAGCGCGUGUAGGCGGUCGAGCAAGUCAGAUGUGAAAGCCUUCCGCUUAACGGAAGAAGUGCAUUUGAAACUACUCGGCUGGAGUACGGGAGAGGAGAGUGGAAUUCCCGGUGUAGAGGUGAAAUUCGUAGAUAUCGGGAGGAACACCAGUGGCGAAGGCGGCUCUCUGGUCCGAUACUGACGCUGAGACGCGAAAGCGUGGGGAGCAAACAGGAUUAGA
rnacentral:rRNA from 1 species